rnacentral:rRNA from 1 species
GUCUUAAGCAUGCAAGUCAGACGGAAUGUAGUAAUACAUUCAGUGGCGAACGGGUGAGUAACGCGUGGAUAAUCUACCUACGAGAUGGGGAUAACUAUUAGAAAUAGUAGCUAAUACCGAAUAAAGUCAAUUAAGAUGUUAGUUGAUGAAAGGAAGCCUUUAAAGCUUCGCUUGUAGAUGAGUCUGCGUCUUAUUAGCUAGUUGGUGGGAUAAGAGCCUACCAAGGCUAUGAUAAGUAACCGGCCUGAGAGGGUGAUCGGUCACACUGGAACUGAGAUACGGUCCAGACUCCUACGGGAGGCAGCAGCUAAGAAUCUUCCGCAAUGGGCGAAAGCCUGACGGAGCGACACUGCGUGAACGAAGAAGGUCGAAAGAUUGUAAAGUUCUUUUAUAAGUGAGGAAUAAGCUUUGUAGGAAAUGACAAAGCGAUGACGUUAAUUUAUGAAUAAGCCCCGGCUAAUUACGUGCCAGCAGCCGCGGUAAUACGUAAGGGGCGAGCGUUGUUCGGGAUCAUUGGGCGUAAAGGGUGAGUAGGCGGAUAUGCAAGUCUAUGUGUAAAAUACCACAGCUCAACUGUGGAACUAUGCUGGAAACUGCAUGACUAGAGUCUGAUAGGGGAAGUUAGAAUUCCUGGUGUAAGGGUGGAAUCUGUUGAUAUCAGGAAGAAUACCAGAGGCGAAGGCGAACUUCUAGGUCAAGACUGACGCUGAGUCACGAAAGCGUAGGGAGCAAACAGGAUUAGAUACCCUGGUAGUCUACGCUGUAAACGAUGCACACUUGGUGUUAAUCGAAAGGUUAGUACCGAAGCUAACGUGUUAAGUGUGCCGCCUGGGGAGUAUGUUCGCAAGAAUGAAACUCAAAGGAAUUGACGGGGGCCCGCACAAGCGGUGGAGCAUGUGGUUUAAUUCGAUGAUACGCGAGGAACCUUACCAGGGCUUGACAUAUACAGGAUAUAGUUAGAGAUAACUAUUCCCCGUUUGGGGUCUGUAUACAGGUGCUGCAUGGUUGUCGUCAGCUCGUGCCGUGAGGUGUUGGGUUAAGUCCCGCAACGAGCGCAACCCUUGUUGUCUGUUACCAGCAUGUAAAGAUGGGGACUCAGACGAGACUGCCGGUGAUAAGCCGGAGGAAGGUGAGGAUGACGUCAAAUCAUCAUGGCCCUUAUGUCCUGGGCUACACACGUGCUACAAUGGCCUGUACAAAGCGAUGCGAAACAGUGAUGUGAAGCAAAACGCAGAAAGCAGGUCUCAGUCCAGAUUGAAGUCUGAAACUCGGCUUCAUGAAGUUGGAAUCGCUAGUAAUCGUAUAUCAGAAUGAUACGGUGAAUACGUUCUCGGGCCUUGUACACACCGCCCGUCACACCACCCGAGUUGAAGAUACCCGAAGCUAUUAUUCUAACCCGCAAGGGAGGAAGGUAUCUAAGGUAUGUUUAGUGAGGGGGGUGAAGUCGUAACAAGGUAGCCGUACUGGAAAGUGUGGCUGGAUCACCU